GGCCGUGGCCAAAGACAAAGGCAUUGAGUGUGUCUGACCAGAAAUAUGAUGCGGCUAUCAGCAGUGACUCGUUCCUAUGCAUAUCGGCAAUGGACAACCUGAUGCAUUGGUCUCGUUUUCUCUCACCCCACUGGACUUCAUUUGAAUGGCUGACUCUCAAAAACCAAUCCUUCCAUCCCACGGUAGGACUGGGCCAGGAACGAAAGGUAUCCUUCCACAGAUCUAGAGAGAAAUUCUCGGCUCUAAAGGGGAUUCUGUUUGUUUCUGCGUUAAUAAGAUUGGUGGGAUCUGGAUCUCCUAACGGACCAAGACAUUGGAGGUGUGGCUGAUCGGUGAGGAUGACAAUUUUAUUGGACAGGUCCUAAUGGUUUUGAAGGUAAAAGGAAGAACAAAGAAAGAAAAAAAAAUGUUCAGUAAAAUAAAUUGCGGAUGAACAGGGAUACGGUAAAGG
rnacentral:lncRNA from 1 species